UACGGAGGGUGCAAGCGUUAUCCGGAUUCACUGGGUUUAAAGGGUGCGUAGGAGGGCAGGUAAGUCAGUGGUGAAAUCUCCGAGCUUAACUUGGAAACUGCCGUUGAUACUAUCUGCCUUGAAUAUUGUGGAGGUGAGCGGAAUAUGUCAUGUAGCGGUGAAAUGCUUAGAUAUGACAUAGAACACUAAUUGCGAAGGCAGCUCGCUACACAUAUAUUGACUCUGAGGCACGAAAGCGUGGGGAUCAAACAGG
rnacentral:rRNA from 1 species